rnacentral:rRNA from 1 species
GACGAACGCUGGCGGCGUGCUUAACACAUGCAAGUCGAGCGGUAAGGCCCUUUCGGGGGUACACGAGCGGCGAACGGGUGAGUAACACGUGGGUGACCUGCCCUCAGCUCUGGGAUAAGCCUGGGAAACCGGGUCUAAUACCGGAUAUGACUCCAUGACGCAUGUUGUGGGGUGGAAAGCCUUGUGCGGCUGAGGAUGGGCCCGCGGCCUAUCAGCUUGUUGGUGGGGUGANGGGCCUACCAAGGCGACGACGGGUAGCCGGCCGUGAGAGGGCGACCGGCCACACUGGGACUGAGACACGGCCCAGACUCCUACGGGAGGCAGCAGUGGGGAAUCUUGCGCAAUGGGCGAAAGCCUGACGCAGCGACGCCGCGUGAGGGAUGACGGCCU